rnacentral:lncRNA from 13 species
GAAAAGAGGAUGGCCCUCAGUGAGGGGGAACCAGGGCCCCUCGCUGCCCAUUCUCACCCUGGCUGUCUCUCUCCUUCCCCCAUGCUGGUGCUGCGCUGGACAGAGGAAAAGCCGAGACCCAAGUGAGUGUGGGGUCCUGGAGCGCCUGGCCAAGUGUGUUCUGGGGUGGGGCUGGGCGCAGGACGCGGCCAGAUGCCUGGAGCCUGCACUUGGAGGGAUGAAUGCUCAGGGUGCAGGGUGGGAGAGACCAGGGUCACCUGGGAGAUGGACUUGGGAGGCCCAGCAGGGUCAUCUGGUGCAGAGAAGGAGGGCUUCCUGCAGGAGGAGGCUACUGACAAGGAAGGAAGGAGGAGAGGUGGGUGGGAGAAAGUUUAGGAAGGAAGGCGGGGUGCUGGGGUGUAGGGAAUCGGGCCACCAGCACACCCCCAUGGCCUUUGGGGGACCCCACCAUCCCCUGUCAUAGUACCUAGCUGCGAAAAUAGACAGGAAAGUGAGUCGGGAAGUGGAAGAAAGAGGGGUCUUACCCCAGAAACCCACUUCAGAAGGACACUGCAACCAUGUCCAAAACAGCCCGAUGUAUAGGGCCCCUGCUCCCCUCUGGGAAGAAUUCAGAGGACCUCGUCCUCAUCACACCCGCCAGUGAGCACUUCAUGGACUGGCUUUUUAAAUGCAGCUCUUCUGACUCUUCUGCUUUUGAUCAGUACAAGUGGCAGCACUCGGUGGGUGCAAGAUUCACCCUUUUGUCUCAACUUCCCUUGCUCUGCAGGAGGUGGAGUCUCAGAGCACCCCAGCACACGCUCACUCAGGGCACCCCAGCACACGCUCACUCAGGGCACCCCAGCACGUGCUCACUCAGGGCACCCCAGCAUGCGCUCACUGCCGGCUUCUGCUUGGGGGGCCCUGCAGACUCUCCGGAGAAGAGUGGGAACAUCUAGGGGCAGAGCCGGCACAUUUCUGUCCUUUGCACUUAACUUUUCAGCGAUUUUAAGUGCGGUAAUGCCUGAUCACGAGAUACUUUCUCAUUUUAGAAAAAUUGUUUGUGUUUUCAUUAUGAAAAUAAAACACCUCAUUAAAGAAAAUUUGGAAAAUAC